UGGGGAAUAUUGGACAAUGGAGGAAACUCUGAUCCAGCAAUUCUGUGUGUGUGAAGAAGGUUUUAGGACUGUAAAACACUUUUAGUAGGGAAGAAAAAAAUGACGGUACCUACAGAAGAAGCAACGGCUAAAUACGUGCCAGCAGCCGCGGUAAUACGUAUGUUGCGAGCGUUAUCCGGAAUUAUUGGGCUUAAAGGGCAUCUAGGCGGUAAGACAAGUUGAAGGUGAAAACCUGUGGCUCAACCAUAGGCUUGCCUACAAAACUGUUGAACUAGAGUACUGGAAAGGUGGAUGGAACUACACGAGUAGAGGUGAAAUUCGUAGAUAUGUGUAGGAAUGCCGAUGAUGAAGAUAACUCACUGGACAGAAACUGACGCUGAAGUGCGAAAGCUAGGGGAGCAAACAGG
rnacentral:rRNA from 1 species